rnacentral:rRNA from 3 species
AUGCAAGUCUAAGUACACACGGCCGGUACAGUGAAACUGCGAAUGGCUCAUUAAAUCAGUUAUGGUUCCUUUGAUCGCUCUCACGUUACUUGGAUAACUGUGGCAAUUCCAGAGCUAAUACAUGCCAACGGGCGCUGACCUCCGGGGACGCGUGCAUUUAUCAGACCCAAAACCCAUGCGGGGUGCUCCUCACGGGGUGCCCCGGCCGCUUUGGUGACUCUAGAUAACCUCGAGCUGAUCGCUGGCCCUCGUGGCGGCGACGUCUCAUUCGAAUGUCUGCCCUAUCAACUUUCGAUGGUACUUUUUGUGCCUACCAUGGUGACCACGGGUAACGGGGAAUCAGGGUUCGAUUCCGGAGAGGGAGCCUGAGAAACGGCUACCACAUCCAAGGAAGGCAGCAGGCGCGCAAAUUACCCACUCCCGACUCGGGGAGGUAGUGACGAAAAAUA